UACGAAGGGGGCUAGCGUUGUCCGGAAUCAUUGGGCGUAAAGCGCGUGUAGGCGGUUACGUAAGUCUGCUGUGAAAGUCGGAGGCUCAACCUUCGAAAGCCGGUGGAUACUGCGUGACUAGAGUACGGAAGAGGAGAGUGGAAUUCCUGGUGUAGCGGUGAAAUGCGCAGAUAUCAGGAGGAACACCAACGGCGAAGGCAGCUCUCUGGGACGUUACUGACGCUGAGACGCGAAAGCGUGGGGAGCAAACAGG
rnacentral:rRNA from 1 species